UACAGAGGUCUCAAGCGUUGUUCGGAUUCAUUGGGCGUAAAGGGUGCGUAGGCGGCGCGGUAUGUCGUGCGUGAAAUCUCCCGGCUUAACUGGGAGGGGCCCGUGCGAAACUGCCGGGCUUGAGGUCAGAAGGGGAAAGUGGAAUUCCGGGUGUAGUGGUGGAAUACGUAGAUAUCCGGAGGAACACCAGCGGCGAAGGCGGCUUUCUGGUCUGAUACUGACGCUGAGGCGCGAAAGCGUGGGGAGCGAACAGG
rnacentral:rRNA from 1 species